CCUACGGGGGGCAGCAGUGGGGUAUAUUGGACAAUGGGCGAAAGCCUGAUCCAGCCAUGCCGCGUGUGUGAAGAAGGCCUUCGGGUUGUAAAGCACUUUCAGUGGGGAAGAAAGCCUUGGGGCUAAUACCCUCGAGGAAGGACAUCACCCACAGAAGAAGCACCGGCUAACUCCGUGCCAGCAGCCGCGGUAAUACGGAGGGUGCGAGCGUUAAUCGGAAUUACUGGGCGUAAAGCGCGCGUAGGCGGUCUGAUAAGCCGGUUGUGAAAGCCCCGGGCUCAACCUGGGAACGGCAUCCGGAACUGUCAGGCUAGAGUGCAGGAGAGGAAGGGAGAAUUCCCGGUGUAGCGGUGAAAUGCGUAGAGAUCGGGAGGAAUACCAGUGGCGAAGGCGGCCUUCUGGACUGACACUGACGCUGAGGUGCGAAAGCGUGGGUAGCAAACAGGAUUAGAUACCCCAGUAGUC
rnacentral:rRNA from 1 species